GUCGUAUUCGGAUCGCUUAUUGUGGACAGUUGUGGACAAAUGGACAAGUUUUUACAUUUUCGGGUUUGUUGAAAAACGCAGUUGCGGACUGGAGCCAUGGCAGAUUUCUACGGCCAAAAGCGGACGCAUAGAAAACUGUAUUCCGGUCAAUGCGAGGACUAAUGUCUGGAAUUAGUAUAAACUGCAGAUUUUUCAGCCUUGGAGAAAAUUUAUAGUUAAUAAGAUGAUGAAACAUUGUAGCAUUGUAGGUUAAGUGCAUUACGUUAUUAUUUUAAAUUUUAUAUAAGCUAUAAUAAAGUGUUUUAUUGCUCAUUGA